rnacentral:rRNA from 1 species
GACGAACGCUGGCGGCGUGCUUAACACAUGCAAGUCGAACGGAAAGGCCCUGCUUUUGUGGGGUGCUCGAGUGGCGAACGGGUGAGUAACACGUGAGUAACCUGCCCUUGACUUUGGGAUAACUUCAGGAAACUGGGGCUAAUACCGGAUAGGAGCUCCUGCUGCAUGGUGGGGGUUGGAAAGUUUCGGCGGUUGGGGAUGGACUCGCGGCUUAUCAGCUUGUUGGUGGGGUAGUGGCUUACCAAGGCUUUGACGGGUAGCCGGCCUGAGAGGGUGACCGGCCACAUUGGGACUGAGAUACGGCCCAGACUCCUACGGGAGGCAGCAGUGGGGAAUAUUGCACAAUGGGCGGAAGCCUGAUGCAGCAACGCCGCGUGCGGGAUGACGGCCUUCGGGUUGUAAACCGCUUCCGCCUGUGACGAAGCGUGAGUGACGGUAAUGGGUAAAGAAGCACCGGCUAACUACGUGCCAGCAGCCGCGGUGAUACGUAGGGUGCGAGCGUUGUCCGGAUUUAUUGGGCGUAAAGGGCUCGUAGGUGGUUGAUCGCGUCGGAAGUGUAAUCUUGGGGCUUAACCCUGAGCGUGCUUUCGAUACGGGUUGACUUGAGGAAGGUAGGGGAGAAUGGAAUUCCUGGUGGAGCGGUGGAAUGCGCCGAUAUCAGGAGGAACACCAGUGGCGAAGGCGGUUCUCUGGGCCUUUCCUGACGCUGAGGAGCGAAAGCGUGGGGAGCGAACAGGCUUAGAUACCCUGGUAGUCCACGCUGUAAACGGUGGGUACUAGGUGUGGGGUCCAUUCCACGGGUUCCGUGCCGUAGCUAACGCUUUAAGUACCCCGCCUGGGGAGUACGGCCGCAAGGCUAAAACUCAAAGGAAUUGACGGGGCCCCGCACAAGCGGCGGAGCAUGCGGAUUAAUUCGAUGCAACGCGUAGAACCUUACCUGGGUUUGACAUGGAUCGGGAGUGCUCAGAGAUGGGUGUGCCUCUUUUGGGGUCGGUUCACAGGUGGUGCAUGGCUGUCGUCAGCUCGUGUCGUGAGAUGUUGGGUUAAGUCCCGCAACGAGCGCAACCCUUGUUCACUGUUGCCAGCACGUUAUGGUGGGGACUCAGUGGAGACCGCCGGGGUCAACUCGGAGGAAGGUGGGGAUGACGUCAAGUCAUCAUGCCCCUUAUGUCCAGGGCUUCACGCAUGCUACAAUGGCUGGUACAGAGAGUGGCGAGCCUGUGAGGGUGAGCGAAUCUCGGAAAGCCGGUCUCAGUUCGGAUUGGGGUCUGCAACUCGACCUCAUGAAGUCGGAGUCGCUAGUAAUCGCAGAUCAGCAACGCUGCGGUGAAUACGUUCCCGGG